GUCUUCGUGGUGUAAUGAUCAGCGCACUCGGCGCGCAUUCGUGGGGUCCGAGGUUCGAGUCCCGGCGAAGUCA
rnacentral:tRNA from 1 species